rnacentral:tRNA from 1 species
ACCAAGCAAAUGGGCCUCGAUCCCAUAAUAACUUUUAGUUAACAACUAAACGUCCUAUCCAGCGAACCUUUGCUUG